CCUGCAGACACCCAGGUCAGUGCAGAAGGAGGGGGAGGAGGUGCUCCAGGCGCUGGAACAGAGAUUCCCCGGCAGCCCGUGAUGAAGACCGUGGUGAGGCAGGCUGUCCCCCUGCAGCCCAGGGAGGACCCGACGCUGGAGCAGAUCUCCACCUGCAGC